GGUCUCUUUGGGAAACGGAACAAACUACAGUUCCCACGAUGUCCCCCCAAAGCACCCUGGGAACUAUUGCUUGCUCUGGGUGUUGUGGGUUGUGGCAUCUGAACAGUAAACAAUCUGUCCUUGGAUUCCACAGUAUACAACUCCUUGCCGUCCCAAGCCCAUUUCUCUUCCUAGGGAACUCUGGGAAGUGUAGCUCAUGGGAGGAACAGCACUUGGUGCCCUGAACUCUGGGAACCAAUGGGCUGGCACCGCCGAGUGUCGCCUUGGCCUGCGACUUUGAAGGCACCACCUGCAGCUGGGAGGACGUCAGCAUGUCUGGGUACUGGUGGUGCCCAGGGUGGGGCAGAGGCUGGGUGCGUGGCCCCGACUCCCCCUUCAGCCACACGCUGGGCACUGACCAGGGUAAAACUUGCUUCAUUUGAAAGGCAGAGAAGCAUUGCUAAGCAGUUAGAGCACCCCUUUGACCUGGGGCCCCCCAACCAGGCUGGUACAUGAGCACCUCGGAGCAGCGAACCAAGCCACCUGACUCCGCUCCCUGACCAUGAGUGACGCGGCCACAGCCUGUGAACUCCGCACCUGGUACAGUAUGGCCGAGAAAGGUAAGCUUGG